GAUGAACGCUAGCGGCAGGCUUAAUACAUGCAAGUCGAGGGGCAGCACGAAUAGCAAUAUUUGGUGGCGACUGGCAAACGGGUGCGGAACACGUACGCAACCUUCCUUUAAGUGGAGAAUAGCCCGGGGGAAACCCGGAUUAAUACUCCGUAACAUUAUAAAGGUGGCAUCACUUAGUAAUUAUAGAUUUAUCGCUUAAAGAUGGGCGUGCGCCUGAUUAGGUAGUUGGCGGAGAAUAGCCCACCAAGCCUGCGAUCAGUAACUGGUGUGAGAGCACGACCAGUCACACGGGCACUGAGACACGGGCCCGACUCCUACGGGAGCAGCAAGUAAGGAAUAUUGGUCAAUGGACGCAAGUUCUGAACCAGCCAUGCCGCGUGGAGGAUGAAGGUCCU
rnacentral:rRNA from 1 species